GACGAACGCUGGCGGCGUGCUUAACACAUGCAAGUCGAGCGGUAAGGCCCUUUCGGGGGUACACGAGCGGCGAACGGGUGAGUAACACGUGGGUGACCUGCCCUCAGCUCUGGGAUAAGCCUGGGAAACCGGGUCUAAUACUGGAUAUGACUCCCAUAAACGCAUGUUGUGGGGUGGAAAGCCUUGUGCGGCUGAGGAUGGGCCCG
rnacentral:rRNA from 1 species